AGGGACCGACUUCCAAUAUGGGUAGUGGAUAAUUACAUCAGGGAAGCAUCAAAUGUAAUUGGACCUAGAUUGAACCCACUUCAAUAACAGUAAAGGAUAUAAGGCAUACAAUUUUGUGCCUUUAUAUGAAGGCAAGAGGACUAGAUUGGCACAAAUAAUAGAAGAGAAGCUGACGGCAGUAAAUCCCGUCUCUAAACACCACAAGGAUACUAUGUAUGCGUACGUGUGCCAAUGAGCUAUGGUGAUAGUGGAAAAAAGACCAGUUCCUCAGCACCACAGCCCUACCACCCACUAACCCCAACAUUUUUCCAUACGAAACACAGAGUGAGUGAAUAAGUGAAUACUUCUACAAAAUUUCAGAGGGGCUCUAGAUGACAAAACAGUGUCACUAGAUUUCUAAGUCUGCUGUUUAUUUCAAGUGCCAGAUAACUGAAGUAAAAUAAGUGGAUAAAUAUUCUAUGUUGGUGUAUUUCCCUGGUCGAGAGCCU